rnacentral:rRNA from 1 species
UACGGGGGGGGCAAGCGUUGUUCGGAAUCACUGGGCGUAAAGCGCACGUAGGCGGAUUGUUAAGUCAGGGGUGAAAUCCUGGAGCUCAACUCCAGAACUGCCUUUGAUACUGGCGAUCUUGAGUCCGGGAGAGGUGAGUGGAACUGCGAGUGUAGAGGUGAAAUUCGUAGAUAUUCGCAAGAACACCAGUGGCGAAGGCGGCUCACUGGCCCGAUACUGACGCUGAGGCACGAAAGCGUGGGGAGCAAACAGG